AUUACUUAUGUAUUAGUACUAAAAGAUGUAUUUUUAGUAGGAAAUUGGCAGUUUUGAAGUUGUGUUUUGUGAUUAGUUUGCACACCAAACAUAGAGGAGGCAGCUUAGGAACUUGUAGCAUUAUGAAAGGCUCAUUUUGCGUUGUUCAUACUUGUAUUGAUCUAUACACUCUUGCUUCAUAUGCAUUUACAUGAUCUCUGCAUGCGUGCUUUCGGUUCUUCCUUUGCUUGUUUAGGUUUGCUCGUUGUUUGCUCAUUGUUGGUCUUUCUACUUUUUGGUUUUGUUUCCUGGGUCGGAAAGGCGGGGUUUCUUUAGUUCGAUGGUUCGGCCGGAGUUCUAUCUUUUUUAAUAAAAUCGUAUUUUAAUAAUUUACAUGAUCUCUGCAUACUUUGGCUCUCAGUUGUGUAAAUUAGUGUAUUGUAAAUACAAUUUGAGAUGAGACGGUGUAGAAUGCUACUCCGAGGAUCCAACUAACUUCAUUUUCAGCUGAAUGAUGUUGAUUAAUAACUUAUGAUAUUGUACGGUAGUGAUUUGAUUUGAUUUGGCUGGUUUUUAAUAUUUGUUUCGGUUAUUAUUUUGCAAUAAGGAUAAGUUGGUAAUUGCCUUUUCAAAUCAUAUCCGUUACCUCAUAAAAUUAUAUCUAAUCAAAUCUGUUUAUGGAAACAUAUCUAUAAGAUUGGUCUGUUACAAAGAAACUCCAUUCACACAACAAAAAAGGGACGUGCUUCUUUAAUUUUUGAUUCAUAGUCUAUUGCUUCUUUAAUUUUAGGCAGCAGGGAUUACUCCUUCUGUGAAUUGUGCUCUUGGUCCUGGUGUUCUGUUGUGGUUGUGUUCUUGAUCUAGCCAAUUACAGCCUACUUAGAAAUUUGUGCUGUGCUAUUGCUUCUUGCAGAGGAAUGCUUAAAGAUGUUUUGAGGCUUGAGGUAUUGACUAGGCAAUUCAGAAGCUAGUAUUUCCUUGUAUUUUCAUGGGCUGGUGUUUACACUGGUUUGUUUGAUGUUACAUUUGGUGAAUCCGACAGAUGCAUUUUUUUUCAUGCAUCUAUAGGCCUGGAGGUUCCUUUCUGCAGCAAUCAUAUGAUUUUGAGCUUUAUUUUUAUCAGAUUGCAGUAUGCAUGAUGAUCAUAAAGGGUGCACUUCUGAUCUGAAUUUAUUGAUCACAUGUGCCUCAGAUUGCAUGUUUCUGUAGUGGAAAGUAAGGAUGAUAAAUUGCAAAUGUCUGGUCAUAUAGAUUAGCGAGUACGUGGCCUGAACUUUUUCAAGAUUUACCUCAGCUGUUAAUUCAUAAUGACAGCAUUAGAGGUUUUGAUUCAAAUAAUAAUCAAUGAAGGAGCCUUUAUGUAUGUUUUAUAGCAUAGUCUUGAAGUUGAAGGUAUUCCCCUACAGAAGUCAGGCAAAGCUUUCGAACUGUACACAAAUUUGAGCUAGUAAGUUGUUGCUGCUUUGAUGUUAUGUUUUUAAGCAGAAACUAUAAGUAUCAGUAUGGUGCCCUAAUACACAUUUACAUUUACAAAGGGUCUGUUAAGCAGACUUGCAUAGCAGAGCAGACUUGCAGUGCAGAGCAGACUCCCAGAGUCAGAGCAAAGCUGAAGUCCAGAGCAGAGCGAACUUUCAGAGCAGACUCUCAGAGUCAGAGCAGAGCUGAAGUCCAGAGCAGAGCGAACUUUCAGAGCAGAGCGGACUUUCCAGAUCUGAAUAAAGCACAGAGCAGAGCGGACUUUCCAGAGCAGAGUUGAGUUACAGAGCUGACUUAGUUCAGAACAGACUACGUUUCCAGACCUGGCGUAUUCCAGACCUGACGAGUAAAGAGCUGACUUUCUCGCUAGUUUUGUUUAAACGUGCUGAACAAGUUUUAGUUGUUUCCUUGUUUUCACGCUAUUUCCUUCAUUAGAUUAGUGUUUAGUAUGCCUAUAUAUAGGCUGAUUAUUGUUGGACGAAAUAGCUAAUUUUGAUAUAUGAAAUUGUGAGUUAAUCUC
rnacentral:lncRNA from 1 species